rnacentral:rRNA from 1 species
UACGUAGGGAGCAAGCGUUGUCCGGAUUCAUUGGGCGUAAAGCGCGCGUAGGCGGCCUUGUAAGUCCGUUGUGAAAGUCAAAGGCUCAACCUUUGAAAGCCGAUGGAUACUGCAGGGCUAGAGUCCGGAAGAGGCGAGUGGAAUUCCUGGUGUAGCGGUGGAAUGCGCAGAUAUCAGGAGGAACACCAAUGGCGAAGGCAGCUAGCUGGGACGAUACUGACGCUAAGGCGCGAAAGCGUGGGGAGCAAACAGG